AACCGCGUGAGAGGCAUUCCCAGGGUUUAGUGAUUUCCUGCUGCUUACUCCUUCAGUGCCUGGGACUCUCACCGCAGCUAUGAUUGGUGAGGGACUUGACCAGGGAAACCCUCUUCAUCCCCUUCCAGUGGCGGUUAAGCUCAUGGAGUGUGAACACACUCAGGGUUGAUACGCCAAGCCCCUCCAUUCGGCCCCGGUGUUGGUGCGGCUGUGCAAGGAUGUCCACGACAAGGCGCUCCCGAAGAUGGGAAAACUACAGUUCCCAGAAAUCCUACGCCAGAACUGCGCCUGCGCCGUUGCUAUGCCGACCAUGGGCGCCAGCUUAGAUUCCUGGGCCUUUUAGUGAUUUAACUCUGCCAUGGUGGGGCGGGGCGCGUUACCACCUCUUGUAUUUAUCUCGUUUAUCUCUUUUUUCCUUUUUCUGCAAGCCUCUGCUUCUUGGAAUUGUAGUUUUACAACGAAAUCAAAAGAUGUUAUACACAGAGAAACAAGCCUGA